UUAUCCUUUCUCCCAAACAAUGAUGGGAGAUAAGACAAUAGAAUUGGAUACUGCUAGCUGCUACCUUUCCCGAUCAAUGGCAGAGUUCAAUUUUCAUUGGAGUUUGUUGAACUUUGGUUGGCCUAAAUAGAUGCAUGUCUAAUCAACAGAGGAAUACUCGAUUAGGACUACUGCCCCAGGUUUCUUCAACCAGAACACUCCAAGGCGUAAAUGUUCAAAGGUGUUUUGAAUCGCAGAGAGAAAUGAGGUAUGCCCAUGCUUCAUAAGCCAAAACUUCCCCAAUCAGACAAACUAUGCUUCUCUCAUUAAAAAUGGUGAACACUUGUUUGUACAAGAAAGAUGGAGCUGGGAAAC